GAUGAACGCUAGCGACAGGCCUAACACAUGCAAGUCGAGGGGCAUCACAGGGCAGCGAUGUCUGGGUGGCGACCGGCGCACGGGUGCGUAACACGUAUGUAACUUACCCAUCAGCGAGGGAUAGCCCGGCGAAAGUCGGAUUAAACCCUCAUGGGACAUCAUUUUUGCAUGAGAGAGAUGUUAAAGGAGCGAUCUGUUGAUGGACAGGCAUGCGUUCCAUUAGGUAGUUGGCGGGGUAACGGCCCUCCAAGCCAUCGAUGGAUAGGGGUUCUGAGAGGAAGGUCCCCCACACUGGUACUGAGACACGGACCAGACUCCUACGGGAGGCAGCAGUGAGGAAUAUUGGUCAAUGGUCGGAAGACUGAACCAGCCAUGUCGCGUGCAGGAUGAAGGCCCUAUGGGUUGUAAACUGCUUUUAUACAGGGAUAAAGGCUAGUAUGUAUACUAGAGUUGCAGGUACUGUAAGAAUAAGCAUCGGCUAACUCCGUGCCAGCAGCCGCGGUAAUACGGAGGAUGCAGGCGUUAUCCGGAUUUAUUGGGUUUAAAGGGUGCGUAGGUGGGCAUUUAAGUCAGUGGUGAAAAGUUGUCGCUCAACGAUAAUCGUGCCAUUGAAACUGGGUGUCUUGAGUAUGAACGAAGUAGGCGGAAUGUGCGGUGUAGCGGUGAAAUGCAUAGAUAUCGCACAGAACUCCGAUUGCGCAGGCAGCUUACUAGGCCAUAACUGACACUGAAGCACGAAAGCGUGGGUAUCAAACAGGAUUAGAUACCCUGGUAGUCCACGCAGUAAACGAUGAUUACCCGUUGUUUGCGAUAGACAGCAAGCGACCAAGCGAAAGCGUUAAGUAAUCCACCUGGGGAGUACGCCGGCAACGGUGAAACUCAAAGGAAUUGACGGGGGCCCGCACAAGCGGAGGAACAUGUGGUUUAAUUCGAUGAUACGCGCGGAACCUUACCCGGGAUUGAACGCAGAGGGACAGCAGGAGAGAUUCUGCCUCCGUCACAGGCCGUCUGCGAGGUGCUGCAUGGUUGUCGUCAGCUCGUGCCGUGAGGUGUCGGCUUAAGUGCCAUAACGAGCGCAACCCUCACCGCCAGUUACCAUCAGUUAAAGCUGGGGACUCUGGCGGGACAGCCGGCGUAAGCUGUGAGGAAGGUGGGGAUGACGUCAAAUCAGCACGGCCCUUACAUCCGGGGCGACACACGUGUUACAAUGGCAGGGACAAAGAGCCGCUACCGUGCGAACGGAUGCGAAUCCCCAAACCCUGUCUCAGUUCGGAUCGGAGUCUGCAACCCGACUCCGUGAAGCCGGAUUCGCUAGUAAUCGCGCAUCAGCCAUGGCGCGGUGAAUACGUUCCCGGGCC
rnacentral:rRNA from 1 species